rnacentral:lncRNA from 10 species
AACAGUGUGUGGAACGUUGGCGACCUCGGCGCUCGAGCUGCACUCCGCUGGGCUCUUGGCAGCACCCUGUGCUCUGAGGGUGUCUUGCCCGCCGGGCGCCGUGGCUCACGCCUGUAAUCCCAACACUUUGGGAGGCUGAGGCGGGCGGAUCACUUGAGGUCAAGAGUUCAAGACCAGCCUGGCCAACAUGGUGAAAGCCCAUCUCUACUAAAAAUACAAAAAUUAGCCAGAUUCUACUCUAAAAGUCACCAGGAAAAAUUCAGCUCCACUGGUCCUGGCUCUAAGUCUACUAGCAAAAUCUUCCAGAGAAGUGGAAAAGCCAUCAGCCAAUGUGUUAGACUAUCAUUUCCAUGACCUUACACCUAUCAAAAAGGCACUAUUACCAGGCUUAUAGAAUUCUAAAAAAGUUGGAAACCAUUUUCCAUUAUAAAAGAAAUUCUUCCAAAUCACACAAAACACUCUGACACUUCUCCAAUUCCCCCUAUCAUGGGGCUGGCAGCAGCCGCUUUGCGUCCUGAAUGUCAUGACAGUGAUGAUAACAGUAAUGAUGAUAACAGCAAUGAUGAAGUCUCACAUUUAAAAUUUUCAAGUCACUCAUCACAUCCCAAGUCACUCC